AAUGGCAUAGUUUAAUCUUAGAGAUGGCUGCUCUGCAAGUAGCCGGUGAGGCUGGGCCUCUGCCGUUG
rnacentral:tRNA from 1 species